rnacentral:rRNA from 1 species
UACAGAGGGUGCGAGCGUUGUCCGGAAUUACUGGGCGUAAAGGGCGCGUAGGCGGCCUGAUAAGUAGGGGGUGAAAUUCCGUGGCUCAACCACGGAACUGCCUUCUAGACUGCCAGGCUUGAGCACGGUAGAGGCAGAUGGAAUUCCCGGUGUAGCGGUGGAAUGCGUAGAGAUCGGGAAGAACACCAGUGGCGAAGGCGGUCUGCUGGGCCGUUGCUGACGCUGAUGCGCGACAGCGUGGGGAGCGGAACAGG